AUUGAACGCUGGCGGCAGGCUUAACACAUGCAAGUCGAGCGGGGAGAUGUAGCUUGCUACAUCUCCUAGCGGCGGACGGGUGAGUAAUGCUUAGGAAUCUGCCUAUUAGUGGGGGACAACAUUCCGAAAGGAAUGCUAAUACCGCAUACGCCCUACGGGGGAAAGCAGGGGAUCUUCGGACCUUGCGCUAAUAGAUGAGCCUAAGUCGGAUUAGCUAGUUGGUGGGGUAAAGGCCUACCAAGGCGACGAUCCGUAGCGGGUCUGAGAGGAUGAUCCGCCACACUGGGACUGAGACACGGCCCAGGCUCCUACGGGAGGCAGCAGUGGGGAAUAUUGGACAAUGGGGGCAAGCCUGGUCCAGCCAUGCCGCGUGGGUGAAGAAGGCCUUUUGGUUGUAAAGCACUUUAAGCGAGGGGGAGGCUCCUUUAGUUAAUACCUAGAGAGAGUGGACGUUACUCGCAGAAUAAGCACCGGCUAACUCUGUG
rnacentral:rRNA from 1 species